GAUGAAGAACGCAGCGAAAUGCGAUACGUAAUGUGAAUUGCAGAAUUCAGUGAAUCAUCGAAUCUUUGAACGCAUAUUGCGCUCUCUGGUAUUCCGGAGAGCAUGCUUGUUUGAGUAUCAGUAAACACCUCAACUCCCUUUUCUUUUUUGAAAUUGGAGCUGGACUUGAGUGAUCCCAACGCUUUCUUCCAAGAAAGUGGCGGGUUGCUUGAAAUGCAGGUGCAGCUGAACUUUUCUCUGAGCUAUAAGCAUAUCUAUUUAGUCUGCCUAAAAAACAGAUCAUUACCUUUGCUGCAGCUAACAUAAAGGAGACUAGUUCUUGUGCUGACUGAUGCAGGAUUCACAGAGACAGCUUCGGCUGACUUUGUAAACUCGAUCUCAAAUCAAGUAAGACUACCCGCUGAACUUAAGCAUAUCAAUAAGCGGAGGA
rnacentral:misc_RNA from 1 species